CGCACAUUGCGCCUAAUAGUAUUCUGUUAGGCAUGCCUGUUCGAGCGUCAUUUCAACCCCCAAGCCCUAUUUGCUUGACGUUGGGAGAUUACAGCCCUGCUGUAACUCCUUAAAUCUAGUGGCGGAGCUAGGUGUUGCUUCUAAGCGUAGUAAAUCUCAUUCUCGCUUCUGGAGCUACCCUGUAUCUUGCCGUAAAACCCCCAAUUUUCUAGUGGUUGACCUCGGAUCAGGUAGGAAUACCCGCUGAACUUAA
rnacentral:misc_RNA from 1 species